rnacentral:rRNA from 1 species
AGUGAACGCUGGCGGUAGGCCUAACACAUGCAAGUCGAACGGCAGCACAGUAAGAGCUUGCUCUUACGGGUGGCGAGUGGCGGACGGGUGAGGAAUACAUCGGAAUCUACUUUUUCGUGGGGGAUAACGUAGGGAAACUUACGCUAAUACCGCAUACGACCUACGGGUGAAAGCAGGGGAUCUUCGGACCUUGCGCGAUUGAAUGAGCCGAUGUCGGAUUAGCUAGUUGGCGGGGUAGAGGCCCACCAAGGCGACGAUCCGUAGCUGGUCUGAGAGGAUGAUCAGCCACACUGGAACUGAGACACGGCCCAGACUCCUACGGGAGGCAGCAGUGGGGAAUAUUGGACAAUGGGCGCAAGCCUGAUCCAGCCAUACCGCGUGGGUGAAGAAGGCCUUCGGGUUGUAAAGCCCUUUUGUUGGGAAAGAAAAGCAGCAGGUUAAUACCCCGCUGUUCUGACGGUACCCAAAGAAUAAGCACCGGCUAACUUCGUG